UUAUUUACAUAAUUUCUUUUUGUGCAUUUGCUUGAUGAGUGUUGUAUCAAAGUGUCUUGAUUGUCAUGUAUAUCUGAGAAUCUAAGGGAUUCUGAGAAUGUACUUUUUUUGAUUGCCUAUUAGUAGGUAAAAAGGGCCAGAAUGCUACUCCUAUCCCUGCAAAAUCUGCUGGAAAAACCCCUAACAAGCAGAGCCCAAAAUCCGGAGGUCAGGCUAAUGGCAACAAAUCAUUCAACAAAAACGUCUCUUCUGGGAAGAAAGGGAAGGGCAAGUUCGGAGGCAAAUAAAGCAGCCAAUGAAUUUUGAACAAUUAUUUUGCUACUUUAUUAUAUGAGGAAUGGUUGGAUGUCUGCUAGAUCGAUAUUUGAUCUAAUUUUUGGGAAAUUUACCUUUUUUUUUUAUUUUAUUGUAAUGGAUUCACCUAAAUUUUGAUUCAUCCAUGUUAUGGAUUAUUAUAUAUUAUCUUCUCUUUCCGUUAA